AAAUUUUUCAUGAAGAUUUAAAAAAUGUUGAAUUGAACAACUAACGAAAGUGUAGCCAGUUAACUGGGAGCCGCUGAACUUCCGUACGAGGAGAUGUUUCAGCUCAGAGUUUUAGUUCUUAGACCCACUUUGAGAAUUCGAUUCAUGUUACGUUUUUUUUCCCCCCUCAGAUAAUGCGUGUGCCGGUUCACAGGGAAACGUUCCACUCAUUAAUUCCUACAAGUGGGUCAUAUCUGCCAACAGCUGAUCUCAUUUUGAUUCCAGUCUUAUUCUUAGAAGGAAUCAGAGCACCUUGGAAAAAUGGCUGGUUCUAGGACUGGGGCAAGAAAUACACAAGAUGAACUUGGAGGAACUGGUAAUACCAGAAAGUAAAGAAGUGCUAAAAAUAAACCAAAAGACCCACUGAUAAGGACAUCAAAGGGACACAAGAGAGCUCCCAACAGCCAAAGAGGAACAAUUCCAGCAACAAAACAAUGUUAUAGUAGAAUAUAAAGCAAGUAUCUGUGAGUCUAUACUGAUAUAAAUAAAUAGUUAAAUAAACUAAGUAGAAGAAACACAUCUCCCAUGCAGAACUCCAAAUCGUGUGUCUAGACAACUCCUCUCUCAAUACUGUGAAGCGAAAGUGCCCAUUUUUUAAGUCUGGGUGGGGCAUAGUGACUUUUGUCCAAAGAGUGCAAUAUGGAAAAGAGAGAAGGAGGAGUAACUUUACAGUGGAGAAACCUGACAAAAAUUGCCACAGCCAGCUGAUUGAGGUCAACGUCAACAGUAUAAGUCACUAAUACGAACCUUUAAAGGAUGUGAUGGGGACUUCCCAGGUGGUCCAGUGGCUAAGACUGUGUUCCCAACGCAGGAGGCCCAGGUUCAAUGUUUGGUCAAGGAAUUACAUCCCACAUGCUGCAACUAAGAUAUGAUGCAGGGAAAUAAAAUAAUUUUUUUAAAUACUAAA